rnacentral:lncRNA from 1 species
AUGGCGAAAAUGUUGUACAGCCCUGAUCCAAGUGAACUUGACCCUGAGAGAGUGAGGGCCGAUCCUGACAUGUGGCAGAAAAUCACAAGUACAGCACCAGAGAGAAUGGCACAGUCAUUGGUAACAGGUUCUAAAGGGUUCGUGGACAGAUGGCCCCGAGUUGUUGAGCUGAUUAUAAUGCUUCAAACCACUGAUCAGCAGCUCCCUCAACUGCAUGCCGCAGUUUCUGCCAUCUCACGGCUAGAAAACCGAGUAGAUGAAAUGUGCAAGAAAUUGUUUCCAUCAACUAAUCAUAAUGAUGAUCCCGUAAUAGUAUCAGAAACAACUGAUGAAGGUCAAUCCUCGUACGGGCCACCAGGUCUAAUGAAGGAUCUGAUCAAAGUAUUCCAGUCCUACUCCUCACCUGCAUCAUCAAAAGUCUCAGCUGUUAAACGCACACGCUUCCCAGCUCGAGCAAAGAACAACAGUACGAUUGCACCGCGUGUUUCCAUGUGGCGCUACCUACGUGACCGUGGAGAAGACAUGAGGAAGUGGCAUGAUCAGCCCACUUCUGCACUACGAGCACGGGUGAAAGAACUACUAGACAUACCAACCACCAGUGGAGUUGCUCCAGUCAUCACAGAAUGUAAGCCACAGUUUGCCUUCACCUGGAGGGGCAUUCAGUAUACUUGGAACCGUUUGCCCCAGGGGUGGAAACACAGCCCAACCAUUUGCCAUGGGUUGGUCCAAACUGUACUGGAACAAGGUGGUGCUCCUGAACACCUGCAGUAUCUUGAUGACAUUGUUGUGGGGUGAUACGCAGAAGAGGUUUUCACAAAAGGAGAGCAGAUCAUCCAAAUUCUUCUACAAGCCGGCUUUGCUAUUAAGCGAAGCAAAGUAAAAGGACCUGCCCAGGAAAUUCAGUUCUUAGGUAUAAAGUGCAGGAUGGACGUCGUCACAUCCCAAACAGAUGUGAUCGACAAAAUCACUGCCAUGUCUCCACCAACUAGCAAGAAAGAGACACAAUCUUUCCUGGGUGCAGUAGGCUUUUGGAGGAUGCACAUUCCAAACUACAGCCUCAUUGUAAGCCCCCUUUAUCAGGUGACGCGGAAGAAGAACGAUUUUGCAUGGGGCCCUGAGCAGCAGCAGGCUUUUGAACAGAUUAAACAAGAGAUAGCCCGAGCUGUAGCACUGGGCCAGUACGGCUGGACAGGAUGUAAAGAGACAGCCUCUAUACUGCUGCUGGAGAGAAAGGCCCCACUUGGAGUUUUGUGGCAAAGAGCCUCAGGAGAGACCCGAGGCCGACCCCUGGGAUUCUGGAGUCGAUCAUAUAAGGGUCUGAAGAGUGCUACACUCCAACUGAGAAGGAGAUCUUAGCCGCGUAUGAGGGGUUCGGGCUGCUUCCGAAGUAGUCGGGACUGGAAACACAGCUCCUUUUGGCACCUCGACUGCCAGUGCUGAACUGGAUGUUCAAAGGACAGGUUCCCUCCACUCAUCAUGCUACCGAUGUCACCUGGCAAGUGGGAUUGCUCUGAUUACACAGCAGGCUCAAAUGGGAAACCUCAAUCGUCCAGGAAUCCUAGAGGUAUCAUGGACUGGCCUGAAGAUAAAAGGUUUGGAAACUCACCAGCAGAAGAGGUAUCACGUCUAAAGAGGCCCACCAUACAACGAAUUACCAGAAAAUGAAAAGAAAUAUGCCCUAUUCACAGACGGAUCAUGUCGCAUUGUAGGGAAGCAUCGCAAAUGGAAAGCUGCUGUGUGGAGCCCCACACGACAGGUUGCAGAGGCCACCGAAGGUAAGGGAGAAUCAAGUCAGUUUGCAGAGGUAAAAGCUGUCCGCUGGCCUUAGAUGUUGCUGAACGGGAGAGGUGGCCAAUGCUGUAUCUUUAUACUGACUCAUGGAUGGUGGCAAAUGCCUUAUGGGGGUGGUUACAGAGGUGGGAACAAAACAACUGGCAACGGAAGGGUAAAUCUGUUUGGGCCGCUGAAUUAUGGAAGGACAUUGCUGCCCGAACAAAGAAUAUGGUUGUAAAGGUGCGUCAUGUGGAUGCACAUGUGCCCAAAAGUCGGGCUACUGAAGAACAACAAAACAACCAUCAGGUAGAUAAGCUGCCAAAUUGAAGUGGCUCAAAUUGACUUGGACUGCAGAAUAAGGGUGAAUUAUUUCUAGCUCGAUGGGCUCAUGAGACCUCAGGUCAUCAAGGAAGAGACGCGACAUAUAAGUGGGCCAGAGACCGAGGGGUGGACUUAACCAUGGACGCUAUUGCGCAGAUUAUUCAUGAUUGUGAAACAUGUGCCAUAAUUAAACAAGCCAAAAGGAUGAAACCUCUCUGGGAGGAAGGGCGGUGGCAAAAGUAUAAAUAUGGGGAGGCGUGGCAGGUUGAUUAUAUCACCUUGCCACGAUCUCGCAGUGGUAAGUGUUAUGUACUCACCAUGGUAGAGGCAACACUGGUGGCUUGAAACAUACGCAGUACCCCAUGCAACUGCUCGAAACACCAUAUUAGGUCUUGAGAAACAAGUCCUGUGGCGACAUGGCACCCCAGAAAGAAUUGAAUCUGAUAAUGGGACACAUUUUAAAAAUUCCCUUAUAAAUACUUGGGCCAAAGAUCAUGGCAUUGAGUGGAUUUAUCAUAUUCCCUACCAUGCACCAGCUUCUGGUAAAAUUGAACGAUAUAAUGGGUUGUUGAAAACUAUGUUGAAAGCAAUGGGUGGCGGAACAUUUAAGCACUGGGAGAAGAAUCUGGCAGAAGCCACUUGGUUGGUGAAUACUAGAGGAUCUGUCAAUCGUGAUGGUCCUAGUCAAUCUAGCCCCCUACACACUGUAGAAGGAGAUAAGGUCCCUGUUGUACAUGUAAAGAACAUGUUGGGAAAAGCUGUUUGGGUCCUUCCAGCUUCUGGAAAGGGCAAACCUAUCCGUGGAACUGUCUUUGCCCAGGGACCUGGGUGCACUUGGUGGGUAAUGCAGAAGGAUGGGGAUGUUCAGUGUGUACCACAAGGGAAUUUGAUGCUGAGGGAGUGCAGUCAAUAAUUUUAUGUAUUUAUAUGUAUAUAUGUUUGCAUGUGUAGUGUAUUUUAGUUAUAUAGUAUUAUAGUUGUACAUUUAGUUAUGUUACAUGUAAUUCUACUGUUUAGCUAUCAUAAUUUUACAUACGUGUAUAUAUAUGUAUAUAUAUUUUUACCAUGAUGUAAUAAUGUAGAAUAAGGGGUGGAAUGUCAUGGUUUUGUAAUUUUGCUAUCAGUAUCAGUAUUCCAACAUCAUAACAUCAUGUAAAGUAUGGAUACUUCUAUUGAAUGUGCAGUCCACAGAAGAAGACUACAUAUCCCAGAGAACAACAGGGUUAAUGAUAAGUCACGGGACCAGGACGCUGUAUAAUCUCGUUCCAGGCUGGAGUGCCCUCCUUCUUCUCUCGAACUUCUCGUAAGUGGGAAGCUUCCAGCCGUGUCGCCUAGAGCUCACAGUAGGCCUCUCGUUUUCGGGGACUCUCUCUCUCUGUUUCGUUCAAUUUGUUAGCCCAAUUAUAUAUAUUGUGUUAUCUUGUAUUUCGGCAUCAUAUUUAGUAAAUAAGUUUUCCUCCUUAGAUUGUCGCUGUUUUAUCCCACUCCCUUUUUCCCCCUCCUUUCCGGCCCCGGGAGGGGGGCCACGGGGUGGCUUUCCCCUGUCACGGGCAUAGGUAAAUCUAAGUAACCCGUGACAAUGGGCUGGUUCAGAUGGGUUCUGUGACUAAUGGGGCAGGAGACCCACGGAUACACACCCUGGGAAAGGCGCAAGGGAAAGGGGGAAGAUGGGAGAUGGGCCUAAACACAGAACAGUGGCAAUGAUCUGGAGAGGAAAGUUAAUUUACUAAGUAUGAUAUCGGAUACAGAUAACACAAUAUAUUACAAUAUAAUUGGAACUGAGGCUAAUAAAUAAAACAAAAUGAGAGAGAGAGAGAGAGAG